ensembl:lncRNA
AUGAUGAAAGGGGCCACCUCCCUCUCUGUCGCUGAGCGUCUGGGUCCAAACCUCAGGGCUGCGACGCAGAGCACGAGGAAAGGAGUUGCCGCGAGGAAGUUUCUCGGUCCAAGGACGGGAUCCCUCAGGGGGCCCUGCGUUCUCCCUCCUGGUCUUCCUCCCGCACCGCCGCUUGGGACCCCACGAGAUUCUCCACCCCGCGCGUUCUCCUCCCGGCUCCCGGCGCUCACCACCCAACCUGGGGGCGCAUCGGGGCCUGGGCGGUGGGACCCGGCCCUCGGGACCGAAAGGCGCCCAGCGGAGAGGGGGCAGUCCUGGAAAGAAAAGGGGCUGGAGAACCAAGAGGUCACCAUUCGAUGGACAGAGACUUCACGCACCACGGCCAUAUCUAUCUGGGACCCUUCAUGAGAGGAAGGAUCCAAACGAACGCUGAUGAACUCCAACCCUUUCCUCCUUGGAAAGAUGGAUCGGGCCUUUUGUGAUGAGGCCUCAGAGGUCACAGAGUGUAACUUCUACCGGAACCACACGUCUGCCCAAGAUCAAGGACGGGAAGCCAGUCCCACGCCGCGGGUAACGAGAGCCCCGUGUCACAGUGAGGUUAUGUGGACGGCGUCCUUGCAGGCAUUUUUGGUAAAUGCAACCCAUAGUGGGUCUCACCUGGCAUCUGAGGCGCACGCUUAUAACACUAAUACCCUCGAGGGAAGUAGCCUGUUCAAUACGAGGUGGAAGAAACUGUCGGGUUUUUAACUGGGAGCAGGAAAACUUGGAAGGAGCUUGGGCACCUUGGCUGCAUUUCCUGGUCUCCCCGGAGCCAUCAUCUCUGUCUCUGGAAAAUAUUUACCUUCGGCCAAGGAGGCGGCUCAGUCGUGGACGGGGAUGGUGAGGUCCCCACCUCUCUCUCGGGGGGAGGACGGAUUUCAGAGGGAGCCGGUCACCCCGCUUGGCAAUGAACUGCUUGGGCCGUAGGAAACCUAAUGGGACAGAACACAGUCUAAUUUUCUGGGAAAGCCGCACAGCCUCCCUGCGAUUUUGCAUCCGAUAAGAGUUCCCAUCUGGGGCUCCCUCGCGGGCUGUUCGAAACUCCCGUGUAAGAGGCAGCUCUGUACAACCAGGCUCGUCUUGGCACGGGGACGGGCUGCGUCUGGGCAGGUGAGGCUGCCUGCUCGUGAGAUGCUGGGGCCGCCCUGACGUUGCUGUCCCGCUGACUUGCCAAGGAGGGAAGUCACCGGCUGCCCCAAACAGGGUCCCGCACGGUCGGCGGAGGUCUCUGCUACAAGGUGAUGUCGGAUUGCUGCAGAGACAGCGAGGUGCCAACAUUAAAUAGAUACAGACUCCCGCCCAGACCCGCCUGGCCAAAAGGAUGACAAUAUUGGGGAGUCUCGUUACUAACACACGGCUUGAGAAACAACGCAUGGCCACCGUGGGACGGAUUGGCUUCCGGACGCACUCUUUCGUGUUCUUUGCUUAGUUCCUUUAUUACCUGUGUUUAUUGUCUAGUAAAUGGUUUGAAAUUAGAAAAAAAAAAAUCCCGAGAAGGGACAACGUUACAGUAGGAUAAAUCCUUCGAAGCGAAUGUAGAUCAACAAAGUCAACACCGGAGAUUUGCUUUUCCAAACGACACCGGGGCUGAAAUGGGACUUGAACCCCAGCGUCUCCAGACCCAAGGUCAACGUUGCCUCUGCUGCCUCCUGUUGAAUCUGUGAUGAACCCACGUGCUUAAUUGUCGGUCAGCGGCCUUCCAAAGGUCCUGGGGAAGAUAUCCUGUCACUGAGAUGUCCCCCGGGAUUGGGCAUGAUCGCUGAUGGAGAGACUCCUCUCUGUGCCUGCCCCAGGCUCAUGGGAACCAACCGGUAUAUUCGCUCCAUCUGGCUCCGUCCAUGACCCUGAGUCCGUGACCCUGAGUCCAAAUCCACUUGGAGAGAGAUGGAGACAGAAAAGGAGAUAGUGCAAAGUCCUAGAUUCUCAGAACACUGAGGAUCCCCCAGUGGGAUGAGCAAACUCUGAUGUGGUCAAUGCCUCCCUGGGACGUUGCAGCAGGAAUACUGAUGAAGAUGGAAAAUUGCAUGCUUACAGCCACUGGGAAUAUUUUGAGCCAGGCUGCGACGUUUAAACUGAAUGCGAUCUCUAAACAUAGCACAUCGAUGUCCCCAAACCAAAGCGGCCCAUCUGUAGCAGAAACAGCAACUUCUAUUUAAUGACGCUUAAGCAGGAGCAUUGCCAGAAUGAGCCUGCCUCAAGCGCACAGCCACUCCGUCCCUGGAAGCUUCCCGACGCUGCAAGCAGAGGGUGGCCGAGGUGAGCAGCAGACCCUCCAGCCUGGGGUGAUGUCUGGAAACCCGGCUGUCCGAUCCUGAAUGGAGACAUCUGGUCCAGUGUUAGCUUGAUCGUUAUCUGUCCCCAGGCAGGGCAGGUUGAAGAGGGCGGGAGGAGAUGCACCAGACCACCGUGCGUACAGACAGUGCUCCUGAUGUGGGCAGACCUGGGUUCGAAUCCCUGCGUUACUGCUGUGCGACCUUGGCCAAAUCUCCGAGCCUCUCUGAGCCUCUGUUUCCCCAGCUGCCAAGUGGAGGUGACUCUGCUGGGAGAAUAAAGAGGGAGCAGAGCCCUGCGUGUAGUCA